AUUAAAAGAUCCCAUCUCGAAAAUUAAAUACUUCAAAAAAGCAUCAAAAGGUACAUCUAUGGAAAUCUUUUCAGAAUUUUAAAUGGCAGCUCCCACUUACAGCGCCAUUUUGAAAUUUGAACUUUCGAAAGUUCAACUUUCAACUUUUGAAAAUUUCAAAAUACUUGUAAAAGGUUAAAAUGCAAUGCCCUUUCGAACCGUGAAAUCAGUUUUGAUCAAAGUAUCGUAGUUUUGGAGGUAUGCGCUGCUGAAGUUGAGUACCUCGAGACAAUGUGAAAAUAAUUAAAGCCUCCCCCACCCGCCCACCCACUGAAGGGACUGAGACCAAACUUAUUGCGGGUUUCUUACUUAUUGGGUGGGUAGACAUUGUGAAAAAAUUGACCGAAAUCGAAGGACAUGACUCAAAAAGUUGGUUGAAUUGAAAAGGAAUGGCCUUAUUAUCUAAUUUGAAAACAUUUUUUGAAAAUUUCCAAAGAAAUGCUUUUUGGCAGGUAAAAUUUCCAACUUCUGCAUUUCGUGUCCCCGCGAUUUGAUCGAUAUGCGACCAUCAUAAUGUGAUGCAACUUUUAUUGCAUACUCGCUCUUUUGAAGGAACCAGACCACUCGUAAUUCAUUCUAUACAAUAUACAAAAAUUAACGAACAAAAUGACGUGACAUUUUUAUUAAAAAAUGUUUUGAGGACCCUGAAGACAGCGCCGCGCGCCGCACCAUCUAUUUCUCUUUCUCCUGAAAUGCUUCAUAAUGAGUCACGAAAAAUGUUCUACGUAUAACCUAAAAGAAGAUUAAAUAAACCACGAAGGUUGUCUUAAAAUGUUUUGGAAAAAAAAAAAUAAGUCGAUAAUUAUAAAAUUUGAGAGAAAAUUCUACAUUUUUAUGAAACUGUAUAAUGGGUCAUCAUUCAUCAAUCAUCAUCAAUCGUCAAAACAAAAAGAAACCUUACCUAAUUGAGCUCAUAACUCCAUUUGAGCCAUUUUUGGUCGUUGCGAGAGAUCAAAAAAAUAAUGCAACCGUUUAGCAAUCUUGAAAUUUUGGAUCAUGAAAAUUCCUGAAAUUUUCAAAAUAGAAAAUUCUCACCUUAAUUUUACACAAAAAUUAAAAAAUCAGGAAUCAAGAAAGACCAGGAAAGAGAUCAAGUCCUUCCAAUAUUGUAACAUCUGCUCCUCGAAUUUUUAUCAAAGUAGGUACCUACUUAUACGUCCAACUCUGGUAUUGUCUUUUUUAAAGAAGCUCUGAAACAGACCACAGGCUCUUUUUUUUCAAGCGCUCUCCAGGACGCUCUUUCAUCAACAAUACCCAACAGCACGUUUGACUCCUCAAUGUUUGAUUGAAGUGCCUUCGGCUGUGACGCUUUAAUUUCAACCAAAGUAUCUCCACCUCCAAGCAGAGUUCCUCUGAAAAGAGACUCUUCAGCUUCGAUUUAACAUGAUAUUCUCACAGACUUAAAAAAGCCUUCAAUUGUUAAAAAAUCCAAAAACAAAUUUCAAGCCAUUGAAAUUUUCUUGUUUUUUGUUAUUUAAUUUUUUUUAUUAAUAGAAAUUCCCUCAAAAAGAUUUUUAAAAGUGUGAAAAAUGUAUUUAUUAUUAGAUAUUUACGUCUAUCCUUCAACACCAUUAUUCUUAACAUAUUUUUAAACCAUCUUGAAAAUUUUUGUUUAAAGUUUAUUUUUUCCAACUAUAGAUAUUUUUCCAAUUUCUGCAAAGGCUUUUAAAUAAAAUUCCACUGAUGAAAAUCCACCAAAAAGAAUCCCACGAAUUUUCCCACAAAUUCACGAUUCGUCAUUCAGGUACAUACAUACCCACCCUUUCCUCCAAGUCAUCAAGCCAUGCCGUAUAGCUGUAUGUACGAGUAUAUCUAGUAAAACGUCCACUCUCUUUACUCAAUUUUCUUCAUACACUUCAACACUUCCCCUGAACCUUUCCCUCUCCGCUCGACUAUUCCAUUAAGUGCCCCUUGUACGCUAAUGGUUUUGGUAAUGAUGACGCAAUUAGAUUACUUUGUUUUUACGGUCGAAUAAUGCGGUUUUUGCUAAGGUCACACCGUCCAUAUAUAUUCGGCCCAAUGACGACCAAACAAAAAAAAAAAAAAAAAAAAAAAAAUACAGUAUGAAAGAAAAAAAAAAGAAAAAACCUCAUACACGUAUUACAUCAAAAGCAUCUCUGCGCAAAAGACGUCACCGUUUAAUUCCAUUUUCGCGAAACCGAAAAGAUAAAUACUAUUACAAAGAGUGUGGAGAAAUCUCAUUUUUGAAUUUUCCGCCAUUUAUAUAGCUAAUGGUUUGCGCAUCUAUGACGAAAAUACCCCGGAGAUUUGCACGAGAAAAAGUAACCGGUACUGGUUUUAUUACGUAAACUAGAUGAUACCUCCUAUUCUAUGUGCGAGUAUAUUCUCUGGGUAUACACUUUUCACGAGUAUUCUGCUUUAUUUGCGCUUAUAACGUAAUAGUAUCUAUUUUAUAUACUAGGGUAGGUAUGUGUGUACUUAUGGUAAAUACAUUUAUACGAACACGCUACGUAUUUACCAAAUCAAAGAAUUUCUUUUCCUUUUCCGCCAACGUGUGGUAGCAGCUUACCAAAGGGAGGCCAUCCUAUAACGUUUGACCGCCAAAUACGAGAAUAUACCGAAACCCAACUCAAGUUUUUCUUCCUAAAUCCUAAUUGUGUUAAUAUAUUGCACGAAGAGGUAUAGAGAAAAUUCGAUUUUCUGCGGACUCUGUUUCCUUUUUUACUUUCGCGAGUUAUCUUGGAGCACUUAAGCUUUCGAGUACAAGUUUACAGGAAGGGAUACGUAGAUAUUCGGAUUCGCUGUAGGUAAUAGUAUAUUACUUAACUGUUCGGUAAAGUGCGUGAAUACCAACGAGUGUGAUUUUUGCAGCGCGAGCCGAAGGCGAGCGUUGCAAAGCACACGAGUUGGUGUUCACGUACAUUUGCCGAAUCGUUGAGUAAUAUGUUUUACUUAAUUAGUAUAGGUAAAGCUCUCAGUGCCUCACUGUUUAAAACAAGGCAGUUGUCUUUAAGUCACUAUGCGUACAAAAUUACACAAAAAUGUAAAAAAAAUUACAAUUGUAGUUCUUUAAUUAUUUAUCUAAAUGGCAACCCUGCUUUACAUUCGAAGCGUGUUUUUCAGUAGAUAGAAAAGAUAACGUACUGUACAUGUGGUAGUGAUUUUGAUUUCUUGAAUAUGAAUUUCUUUUCUUUCUUCUUAUUCGUUUAAUUUUGAAAUAAAGCAAUGGGUGUUUGAUUUUUAUCUAUCAGAAAAUGAAUUCCGUUUUGUUUUAGUUUAUUUAUUCACAAAAUCAAUUUCGAUUUUUAGUAUUUACAUUAAAAUGUGAAGUGAUGAUAACAAAGUGAUGUGAAUUUUACUGAAGUGAAUUAUACCUACCCACCUACCUAAUUACACUCAUACGAUAAUCAAUUGCGCUGGUCAAAGUAUUGUGUAUUUUCGUUCGAAUUUCAAGUAGGUAUACGUAUUUGGUAAAUCAUAAACCACAUAGAAUGAAUGUUUGCAAAUUCGUUUUUAUAGUUUUCGUCGGUUUUGCAUCAUUGAUGCAAUUGACGCAAUCGUGUAUCUUCAGGGGAAAAUCAUGCCAUCCUGGAGACGUUCGGCACACUUGCUGUAAAGGAAUGGUAUGCGAACGGAAGGAAAAAUCUUCACGUGGUGUAUGCGACUAUGGACUCUUACGGGAAUAGUUACUAAUAUUUCGCACUCGAAUGAUGAAAUGUUUUCCUUAAAUUUCACAUAUCUACCUAUUCUCAGAACAAUCACCUAACACAAUAUAUUGAAAUGAUUCACACUUUUAGAAAUACAUACUAAGUAAGUAUAUGGAAAUUAUGAAACUGAAUUUUUGACACAUGAAGGAACGACGUUUACAUUAAGUAUGUACCUAUUUCAAAAUUUCUUAGGAUUCCAGACUAAUGGAUUUAUCUUCUCGGAGAUCUAAAUUACUAGAAUGACAUCUCCAUUUCUCACAAUUUGAACAUAAAUUUUGCUACGCAUAUAAACUUUGUUCAUGACCAAGGAAAAAUCACAAUCCAACUUUUUGCCAAUCAACCAAGUUAUAUAUCGCUGCAUUUCUUUCGAAUUACUUUUUCAAAAAUUACCUAUCGAAAAAUGAAUUUCGUUAAAAUCCUUUUGUUCGCGUUUGUCGCUGUUGUGGCAUUGAUACAAUCGUCACAAGCAUGUAUUGCCAAUGGAAAACCCUGCCAUACUGGUAAAUGGGAGGAUUGCUGUUCUGAAGUCUGUUACCAACAGAAAGGCGCACGUUUUGGAAAGUGCCAAGAACGUUAGGAGAUGUAACCGUGAUUGUAAGACAAAUGACUCAGUUUUCUAAUCAGCAGGUUGACUAUAACUAUUCGUAUAACUCGUUAAAAUUUUCGAUUGUAUGAACCAAUCAAUUCAAUUAAAAUUUUAUUAAUCAUUUCAUUCAAUUAUGUACUUAUUUGAAAUAUACAUUACCUAAAUUCAUUCUCACGACUAUUUUUUAAAACUUUUGAAAAUGGAACAAAAAUUUAAUCUCAAAUAAUUAUUUUCAAUCCAUUAUGCGGGAAAAAUUCUUCAAAAUAACCUUAAUCCUAUACAAGUUCUGCUUUUGUGCUUACUUUUGUCCUCCUUUUUAUCGAAAAAUACUGUUUUUUUCUCGUUUUUCCCCUAGAAUUUUGGAAAAAAAAAAAUUUCAAUUACCUAAAAAACAUAAAUUUUUUCAAUUCAAAAAUUUUGAAAUGAACUUGACAGGACUGUAAUUCAUUCUUCCUACAUUUCAAGUUUCAUUUUUUCAACUUGAAUGUACUUCGAUAAUAUUAAAGUCUUUUUCUCCGAAUUUCACCAUUCUAAACACACAUUUUAAGUUGACUAAAAUUUUUUAAAAUAUGGUAUGCAUCAAACCGAAUUCUACCUAGGUUGAUAGGAUAGGUAAGCACCUAGGUACAUUUCCGCACGCAUAUAAAAUUAAUGCAACAACUUAUCUCAAGAGUUAGAAUAGGUAGGUACUUUAAACUAAUGGAUACGUUUUGUUGAAGACAUAAAUUACCACUCGUGUUUUUGGGCAAUAUACCAGCUACUUACUUAGGAUCAGUAUGUCAGACCAAAGGAUUUUUUUCCGAGUGCUGUGCUGGAUUAACGUGCCGUCGUCGUCUAGAUACGUCUCCAGUUGGUUUAUGCCGUCCAUAAGCAAAGAAAAAAUCGCAAUGCAACACUUUACACAUUGUACAAGUUACACGGUUGUAUUUUUUUUCAAAAUACUCUUUCAAAAAUUAUCGAAAUGAAUAUCCUAGAAAUAUUUUUAUUUGUUUUUGUCACCGUUGUGGCAUUAUAGUACAAUUGGCAUCCGCACAGGCACAAUCGUAUAAUCGUUAAGAAGUUACCUGCAAGAAAAAUGGUGGAUGGGGAGUUUGCUGUUCCAGAUUCUGCUCACACGAAUUUUGCAAAAUAUAAACAUGAUUAUGUCAGAUAAAGUCUCAGUUUUCAUGACAGGAUGUUUACUACGUGAUGGUGUACCUAUAAUUCAGGUGUUAUGAUUUCAAAAAUGUAUCAUUUAAUUAGCUAGGUAGGUAUUUGAAAUACACAUAACUUCCAUCCAACAAAUAUUUUUUUCCAGAGCAGCCUUUUCAGUACAAAUCUGCUAGCUGGCUACCUACUCAACUACUCAUAACUUCCCUUUCAUUAUGGGAUUUUCAGAACACUGUGACACAUUGAAGUACAAUAAUUGUCACAUUAUUCUUAUCAAAAAAUAGCUGUAAAUCCAAACUAAUGUAUAGGUGUACUUUUUCUUCGAAGCGAAAACUACGUUUUUACUAUUUCUCAGAAUUCUGGCAUUAAUUAUCCAAAUAUGGUUGAAAAUUUUACCACAAAUAAGCAAAAUUAUAUUCACACUUUCACAGCACUCAUCACCAUCAUGAUACUGAUGCAAUACGUGCAUUCGUUGCAAUGUAACCUCAACGGGGGAAAAUGCUAUUCUAGUGGUGUAUUUUGUUGUUCCAAUUACUGUGAUCCAAGUUCUGGCAGAUGCAAAUAAUUAAUCAACUUACUUGACUAUAAUUAUAUUACGAAAAUUUCUCCGAAGUACGAAAACCACUCCUUGUACGUCUCAAGAAUCUUUAGGUAUUGAUGUUUAUCAUGAAAUAAACGGUCACGUGCCUAUAGCAAUGGAUUACCUACUCAAUUCAAGAAAUCUAGAGCUACUCGCAUCGCAAAAUGCAUUCUCUCAACACUCUUCACUCGUAUCUUAUAUCUUCAUACAGUCAAAACACCAAAACGAGUACUUAAUCAAAUAUUUUUCCAAUCUUGAGUUUUCAACUAAAUAAACAUAAUUUUAAAAGCGUAAUUUCUAAAGAUGUAUCUGCAGUUAUUAUCAACUACCGUGUUUAUUUUUUCGGAUAAAAUUUCAAUGGGUACUUUAUAAUUGACCUCCAAUAAAACACACCUUUAAAAAAUUUCUAUAUAAUAUCAAUUCGAAAGAAAGUUUGUAGUCUUUGUUAACAAUUCUUAGACAGUAAUUUCAAUUUUUCGAAAAAAAUCGGUCAAGUUUUAUAGUAACCUUAAACAUACAUCGUCAUUAUGAAUUUUUGCAAAAUUUUUAUAUUUUUAUUUUUCGCGGUGCUCCUGUUCUCGCAAAUGGCUGAAGCAAAAAAGAAAAAUUGUAUCCGAAAUGGACGGAAAUGUAAAGCUAACGGUUCCAUGGGAAAUUGUUGUUCCGGAUACUGUUUUCAGAGGAAAGGAGAGAAGACUGGGAGAUGCCAAAAAAAACCUCGUUAGCUGAU